UCUAUGUGGAUGCUGAUAAAGUGAGCAGAAAAUGUCCACCAUAGCCUUCUCCCUCUAGAUGUUUACAGCCUGAAGACUGCUACCCUACAGACUAGCUAACCUGCCUCCUUAAUCUAACUAUAUACCAGAAACCUCCCUGGUUCAGCCGUAAGCAAUAAUCCUGCCUCCAGUCCAACUAUGUAUAAUAGACCCACUGAGUUUCCUGGGUGCUGUGGCUUCUCCAUUGGAGAGCCUAGUCAGCUCAAAUCCAGAUCUUCUGUGUCUAUGUUUGUCUUUUUUUUUCCAUCCCUUCAGUUCCCCUAUAAGAGCUGACCCUGGACCUGUGCAGGAUGAAAUAGACAAAAAUAUAUCUCCUACUUUAGGAGGCAUCCCCAGAGUAGGCUGGACCUGAAAGGUGUUCUUGUCUCUGAUGGAGAAUGGAGAAUCACUGCAGGCCAAUUUGCAUUUGGAAGAUUGGAGCAUCAGGAUUUGAAGGAAGUUGUAUAAAUUUGUCUGCACUGGUACUCACAUGGAAGAAUAUGCUUAUUGCUCUAAUCUGGCACAAAAGAGAGUUACUCUGACUUAAUAAAUUGCUUCAACUG
ensembl:lincRNA A630050E04Rik RIKEN cDNA A630050E04 gene